CGGCGAAAGGGUGAGUAACACGUAACCAACGUACCCCUCAGAUCGGGAUAACCACUGGAAACGGUGGAUAAUACUGAAUGGUCCUAGGAAGGACAUCCUUCCGAAGGCAAACGGCGGCUUCGGCUGCUGUUGAGGGAGCGGGUUGCGUCCUAUCAGCUUGUUGGUGAGGUAACGGCUCACCAAGGCUAUGACGGGUAGCGGGUCUGAGAGGAUGAUCCGCCACACUGGGACUGAGACACUGCCCAGACUCCUACGGGAGGCUGCAGUCGAGGAUCUUCCACAAUGGGCGAAAGCCUGAUGGAGCGACGCUGCGUGUAGGAUGAAGGCCUUAGGGUUGUAAACUACUGUCACGCUAUAGGAACCCGUGUAGGUUAAUAGCCUGCGCGCUGACCAAAGCGAGAGGAAGUGCCGGCUAACUCCGUGCCAGCAACCGCGGUAAGACGGAGGGCGCAAGCGUUGUUCGGAAUCACUGGGCAUAAAGGGCGCGUAGGCGGCCAGUUCAGUCGGAUGUGAAAUCCCCCGGCCCAACCGGGGAACUGCAUUCGAUACUGACUGGCUAGAGGAUGGUAGGAGCCAAUGGAACUCCAGGCGGAACGGUGAAAUGUGUAGAUAUCUGGAGGAACACCGGUGGCGAAAGCGAUUGGCUGGGCCAUUUCUGACGCUGAGGCGCGAAAGCUAGGGGAGCGAACGGGAUUAGAUACCCCGGUAGUCCUAGCCGUAAACGAUGGGUACUGG
rnacentral:rRNA from 1 species